UGGACUCUCAUCCUACAAUCCAGCCCCUCAACAGAUACAUCCCAGCUUCUGACUGUGAGCCAUCCAGCUACAAUGGGGAGGCCUAGAUGCUAGCCCCACAUGAGAGAGGGAAGGAUUUCAGGCCCAAGGCCCAAGUGGGGCAGGAAGAAGCACACGCUCACCUCAGUUGCCAUCUUUGCUGAGGAUGAGUUGCAAGACAGCUGGUUCAUUACAUCAGCCAUGGCAUUAUUGACCUUUUCCCUUUCUUCUGAUUAGCCUCCGAUCUCUGAUACAUUCUUUGUGACCUUGUAGGAAGAGAUGGAAUCUGUGCAUUAGCCCUCUCAUGCUACGGAGCCACGAGAAGGUUUGACAGCAGAAGUAGAUGCAGUGUGGACGAAUCUACGAGGGACUAACAGGUUCAUGCCAUAUAGCAGGCCUGCACAAC